AUCGCUUCUUGGCCUUUUGGCUAAGAUCAAGUGUAGGAAUGGACUGCUAAGAAUGAUAAUUUCAUCAAAGCAAGAGAAUAGCAUUUAUUCACACCUUAUCUAAAUUGAAUAUGAACCAAUUAUUUAAUUCACUGCAUCAAAUAUCUACUAUAAUUCUCCACUGACUCUAUAAAGAGUUGAUUCUAA